GACGAACGCUGGCGGCGUGCUUAACACAUGCAAGUCGAACGGAAAGGCCCUGCUUUUGUGGGGUGCUCGAGUGGCGAACGGGUGAGUAACACGUGAGUAACCUGCCCUUGACUUUGGGAUAACUUCAGGAAACUGGGGCUAAUACCGGAUAGGAGCUCCUGCUGCAUGGUGGGGGUUGGAAAGUUUCGGCGGUUGGGGAUGGACUCGGGGCUUAUCAGCUUGUUGGUGGGGUAGUGGCUUACCAAGGCUUUGACGGGUAGCCGGCCUGAGAGGGUGACCGGCCACCAUGGGACUGAGAUACGGCCCAGACUCCUACGGGAGGCAGCAGUGGGGAAUAUUGCACAAUGGGCGGAAGCCUGAUGCAGCAACGCCGCGUGCGGGAUGACGGCCUUCGGGUUGUAAACCGCUUUCGCCUGUGACGAAGCGUGAGUGACGGUAAUGGGUAAAGAAGCACCGGCUAACUACGUG
rnacentral:rRNA from 1 species